rnacentral:rRNA from 1 species
UAUAAUAUACACUAUAGAGUUCAGUCCGUGUUGUCUAUAGCCAUCGGGUUAUGCUGGCGAAUGGUAAGAGAGUGCGGGUUACAAACCGGAGGAACGUCGCGACGCCGUCGAGUGAGCAUGGCCUUUAUGUCUGGGGCCACACACGUGCUACAAUGGCCGGUACAAACCGUCGCGAUGCCGUAAGGUGGAGCUAAUCGGAGAAAGCCGGUCUCAGUUCGGAUUGUAGGCUGCAACUCGCCUGCAUGAAGUUGGAAUCGCUAGUAAUCGCGGAUCAGCACGCCGCGGUGAAUACGUUCCCGGGCCUUGUACACACCGCCCGUCACAUCACGAAAGCUGGCUGUACUAGAAGUGGCCGAGCUAACCCGCAAGGGAGGCUAGUCCCUAAGGUAUGGUCAGUGAUUGGGGUGAAGUCGUAACUUUGUAGUCAAAA